rnacentral:rRNA from 1 species
CCAAUAGCGUAUAUUAAAGUUGUUGCAGUUAAAAAGCUCGUAGUUGAAUUUCGGAAUCUGUCCAUCGGUCGGGCUUCACUGUCCGUACUGGUGUGGUGGGUUCUUACCUUCUGAAUAACCAGCAUGCCAUUCACUUGGUGCGUUGGGGAAGCAGGACUAUUACCUUGAAAAAAUUAGAGUGCUCAAAGCAGGCCAGUGCCUGAAUACAUUAGCAUGGAAUAAUAAAAUAGGACGGCAUGGUUCUAUUUUGUUGGUUUCUAGGAUCACCGUAAUGAUUAAUAGGGAUAGUUGGGGGCAUUAGUAUUAAAUUGUCAGAGGUGAAAUUCUUGGAUUUAUUGAAGACUAACUUCUGCGAAAGCAUUUGCCAAGGAUGUUUUCAUUAAUCAAGAACGAAAGUUAGGGGAUCGAAGACGAUCAGAUACCGUCGUAGUCUUAACCAUAAACUAUGCCGACUAGGGAUCGGACGAUGUUAAUUUUUUAAUGACUCGUUCGGCGCCUUACG